CCAAUUAAUUUUACCCAUUAAUGUGGACACAACUUUCUGUCUAUUAAACAAUGCUGGUUUACACAUUCUGACCUUUUCUGAACUAUUACAUCAACGCUCAGGUGUAGUAACCAUUCCUCUUCCCCAUACUUCACUUGUUUCUUUAUAUACUACUUGUUGGUACACCAUUGUUUCCCAUCCUAUUUUAAAUCUAUGGGAUGUUAUUUCAUGACUUAUUUGUGCUGUAUUUGGUAUUUUUACCAAUGGUGCCCUUCCACUUAUCCCUCUCUCAUCUUCCUCAAUUUUUUGCAAUAAUUUUUUUCUAAAACUACUACUACUAUACAAACUUAUACAAUUUAGAUUAUUUAAAUACAUAGAUAUAUUUUUACUCUAUUCUUGUGUUUUAUCGGCAUUUGUAUUAGAUACGUUUACAGCUGUAUUUACUCAAUGUAAUAAUUUUGCUGUUUCAGCUUUCAUGGUGACUAUUAUUUUUCUACUUAAUGAAUCAAUUGCUAACAAAUCUGGUUUUACAUCCUCCUCCCAUUGCCUUAAUAAUUUUUUUGGUUGCCCAUAUAUCCCAUGCUCCUCUUUUCUUUCUUCGUGACCCCCAUGUUGUGCAAUUUAUACUAUAUUUUAUCUUCCUUCCUUCAUUUUCAUAUGCUGGUUGCAAUCUUAUUAUUACUCCUCCUGUUUCUGUUGAUUGUAAUUUUGAGGGGGGUAUUACAACUGUUAAUGUUGGAAGGGUUGUAUUACUAUCUGGUGUAGCUAAGGCUGUGGUUCCAGAUAGUGGAAUUGUUACAAAUGUGGUUUGGAUCUAUGGGUUGUGG